rnacentral:rRNA from 1 species
UAGGGAAUCUUCGGCAAUGGGGGGAACCCUGACCGAGCAACGCCGCGUGAGUGAAGAAGGUUUUCGGAUCGUAAAGCUCUGUUGUUAAGGAAGAACGAGUGUGAGAAUGGAAAGUUCAUACUGUGACGGUACUUAACCAGAAAGGGACGGCUAACUACGUGCCAGCAGCCGCGGUAAUACGUAGGUCCCGAGCGUUGUCCGGAUUUAUUGGGCGUAAAGCGAGCGCAGGCGGUUAGAUAAGUCUGAAGUUAAAGGCAGUGGCUCAACCAUUGUAGGCUUUGGAAACUGUGUAACUUGAGUGCAGAAGGGGAGAGUGGAAUUCCAUGUGUAGCGGGGAAAUGCGUAGAUAUAUGGAGGAACACCGGUGGCGAAAGCGGCUCUCUGGUCUGUAACUGACGCUGAGGCUCGAAAGCGUGGGGAGCGAACAGG